rnacentral:rRNA from 1 species
CCUACGGGUGGCAGCAGUGAGGAAUAUUUGUCAAUGGGCGCGAGCCUGAACCAGCCACGUCGCGUGAAGGAUGACUGCCCUACGGGUUGUAAACUUCUUUUAUAAAGGAAUAAAGUGAGGCACGUGUGCCUUUUUGUAUGUACUUUAUGAAUAAGGAUCGGCUAACUCCGUGCCAGCAGCCGCGGUAAUACGGAGGAUACGAGCGUUAUCCGGAUUUAUUGGGUUUAAAGGGAGCGUAGGUGGGGUGUUAAGUCAGUUGUGAAAGUUUGCGGCUCAACCGUAAAAUUGCAAUUGAUACUGGGAGACUUGAGUGCAGUUGAGGUAGGCGGAAUUCGGGGUGUAGCGGUGAAAUGCUUAGAUAUCACGAAGAACUCCGAUUGCGAAGGCAGCUUACUAAACUGCCACUGACAUUGAUGCUCGAAAGCGUGGGUAUCAAACAGGAUUAGAUACCCUGGUAGUC